rnacentral:rRNA from 1 species
GACGAACGCUGGCGGCGUGCUUAACACAUGCAAGUCGAACGGAAAGGCCUCUCUCGGGGGGUACUCGAGUGGCGAACCGGGGAGAAACACGUGAGUAACCUGCCCUUGAGUUUGGGAUAACUUCUGAAAACGGUGGCUAUUAUCGGAUAGGAGCUCCUUCUGCAUGGUGUGGGUUGGAGAGUUUCUGAGGGUGUGGAGGGACUCGCGGCUUAUAAGCUUGUUGUUGGGGUAGUGGCUUACCAAAGCCUUGACGCGUAUCCGGACUGGGAGGGUGAGCGGCCACAGUGGGACUGGGAUACGGCCCAGACUCCUACGGGAAGGAGCAGUGGGGGAUAUUGCAAAAUGGGUGGAAACCCGAUGCAGCAACGGCGUGGGCGGGAUGACGGCCUUGGGGUUGUGAACCGAUUUCGCUCAUGCCGGAGCUGUGAGUGACGGUAGUGGGUAAAGAAGCACCGGCUAACUACGUG